GACGAACGCUGGCGGCGUGCUUAACACAUGCAAGUCGAACGGAAAGGCCCUGCUUUUGUGGGGUGCUCGAGUGGCGAACGGGUGAGUAACACGUGAGUAACCUGCCCUUGACUUUGGGAUAACUUCAGGAAACUGGGGCUAAUACCGGAUAGGAGCUCCUGCUGCAUGGUGGGGGUUGGAAAGUUUCGGCGGUUGGGGAUGGACUCGCGGCUUAUCAGCUUGUUGGUGGGGUAGUGGCUUACCAAGGCUUUGACGGGUAGCCGGCCUGAGAGGGUGACCGGCGACAUUGGGACUGAGAGACGGCACAGACUCCUACGGGAGGCAGCAGUGGGGAAUAUUGCACAAUGGGCGGAAGCCUGAUGCAGCAACGCCGCGUGCGGGAUGACGGCCUUCGGGUUGUAAACCGAUUUCGCCUGUGACGAAGCGUGAGUGACGGUAAUGGGUAAAGAAGCACCGGCUAACUACGUG
rnacentral:rRNA from 1 species